rnacentral:rRNA from 2 species
AGUAAAUUGGUUAAGUUAGAAAGGGCGCACGGUGGAUGCCUUGGCACUAGGAGCCGAAGAAGGACGGGACUAACACCGAUAUGCUUUGGGGAGCUGUACGUAAGCGUUGAUCCAGAGAUUUCCGAAUGGGGGAACCCACUAUCUUUAGUCGGAUAGUAUCCUUACGUGAAUACAUAGCGUGAGGAAGGCAGACCCAGGGAACUGAAACAUCUAAGUACCUGGAGGAAGAGAAAGAAAAAUCGAUUUCCUGAGUAGCGGCGAGCGAAACGGAAAGAGCCCAAACCAAGAAGCUUGCUUCUUGGGGUUGUAGGACACUCUAUACGGAGUUACAAAAGAAAGUUAUAAAUGAAGCGGUCUGGAAAGGCCCGCCAAAGACGGUAACAGCCCGGUAGUUGAAAUGGCUUUCCCUCCAGAGUGGAUCCUGAGUACGGCGGAACACGUGAAAUUCCGUCGGAAUCCGGGAGGACCAUCUCCCAAGGCUAAAUACUCCCUAGUGACCGAUAGUGAACCAGUACCGUGAGGGAAAGGUGAAAAGCACCCCGGAAGGGGAGUGAA